rnacentral:rRNA from 1 species
AUUGAACGCUGGCGGCAGGCCUAACACAUGCAAGUCGGACGGUAGCACAGAGGAGCUUGCUCCUCGGGUGACGAGUGGCGGACGGGUGAGUAAUGUCUGGGGAUCUGCCCGAUAGAGGGGGAUAACCACUGGAAACGGUGGCUAAUACCGCAUAACGUCGCAAGACCAAAGAGGGGGACCUUCGGGCCUCUCACUAUCGGAUGAACCCAGAUGGGAUUAGCUAGUAGGCGGGGUAAUGGCCCACCUAGGCGACGAUCCCUAGCUGGGCUGAGAGGAUGACCAGCCAUACGGGAACUGAGACACGGUCCAGAGUCCUACGGGAGGCAGCAGUGGGGAAUAUUGCACAAGGGGCGCAAGCCUGAUGCAGCCAUGCCGCGUGUAUGAAGAAGGCCUUCGGGUUGUAAAGUACUUUCAGCGGGGAGGAAGGCGGUGCGGUUAAUAACCGCGCCGAUUGACGUUACCCGCAGAAGAAGCACCGGCUAACUCCGUGCCAGCAGCCGCGGUAACAC